AUGAACGCUGGCGGCGUGCCUAAUACAUGCAAGUCGAGCGAACAGAUGAGGAGCUUGCUCCUCUGACGUUAGCGGCGGACGGGUGAGUAACACGUGGAUAACCUACCUAUAAGACUGGGAUAACUUCGGGAAACCGGAGCUAAUACCGGAUAAUAUAUUGAACCGCAUGGUUCAAUAGUGAAAGACGGUUUUGCUGUCACUUAUAGAUGGAUCCGCGCCGCAUUAGCUAGUUGGUAAGGUAACGGCUUACCAAGGCAACGAUGCGUAGCCGACCUGAGAGGGUGAUCGGCCACACUGGAACUGAGACACGGUCCAGACUCCUACGGGAGGCAGCAGUAGGGAAUCUUCCGCAAUGGGCGAAAGCCUGACGGAGCAACGCCGCGUGAGUGAUGAAGGUCUUCGGAUCGUAAAACUCUGUUAUUAGGGAAGAACAAAUGUGUAAGUAACUAUGCACGUCUUGACGGUACCUAAUCAGAAAGCCACGGCUAACUACGUGC
rnacentral:rRNA from 1 species